ACUUUUUGUGAUGUCAUAAAAGCCUCCCGAGAACUCACAAUGAACAACAGACACAACCUUGCUGUUUCCCAGCACAUUUAGGACAUUCACCAACUGACAUUACUCUAUAUCAUUGUCAAAGUUAAUGGAGAACCAAAAAAUACCAAAGGGAAACCAAAGACAUAUAGCUUUUGCAACAAAACUAUUUAGAGGGGGCCCCCAAGUUGAAGAAACACCAAAGCUUCACAAAUGCAAGAGUGUCAGGCUUAAGUGUCACCCACAUAAGUCUGAACCAGCUGGUCUGAUUGAGAAAACAUUGCAAGAAGCUGAUGCUUUCUGUAGACGAGAAGGAGCACAACAUUCAGAAGACCUUAACUGUCUGAAAGAGAUCAAGAAGAAAGUAUAUGAAAACAAAGAAGAUAAAGAUGGUGAUCAUGAGCAAGACGGAUUUGUUCAUGCGGACACCAGGGAAACAACGGAGGCAAAGACACAAACUGGAAUUGAAGAUAUUUUUCUGGAGAUAAAGAAAGACUUGUCAUCGUUUGUGGAGAUUGAUCUGGGAGACAGACUUGAAGAGGCUCUGGAGCAGCUGGCUUUGCUGUUUUCCUAUCUGGACAAAGCAGAGGAAGCAAAAAGAAAAACAGGAGUAGCCACAAAAUAGGGCUCCCCAGAGUUUCAGAAUAUGAAAGCCAAUAUUGAAUGAAAGGACACCAGUGUGGAAUGAGUGGCCAGCCAAAGACUAAGCACUGAAUAAACUCAAAUCCAUAACUUGAGUAGCCUGAUUG
rnacentral:lncRNA from 1 species